UGCCGCGUGUGUGAAGAAGGCCUAUCGGGUUGUAAAGCACUUUUGUUCGGAAAGAAAAGGUUUGGGCUAAUAUCCUGAAGUGAUGACGGUACCGGAAGAAUAAGCACCGGCUAACUACGUGCCAGCAGCCGCGGUAAUACGAAGGGUGCAAGCGUUAAUCGGAAUUACUGGGCGUAAAGCGUGCGCAGGCGGUUUGUUAAGACAGAUGUGAAAUCCCCGGGCUCAACCUGGGAACUGCAUUUGAGACUGGCAAGCUAGAGUCUGGCAGAGGGGGGUGGAAUUCCGCGUGUAGCAGUGAAAUGCGUAGAUAUGCGGAGGAACACCGAUGGCGAAGGCAGCCCCCUGGGCCAACACUGACGCUCAUGCACGAAAGCGUGGGGAGCAAACAGGAUUAGAUACCCUGGUAGUCCACGCCCUAAACGAUGUCAACUAGUUGUUGGGGAUUCAUUUCCUUAGUAACGUAGCUAACGCGUGAAGUUGACCGCCUGGGGAGUACGGUCGCAAGAUUAAAACUCAAAGGAAUUGACGGGGACCCGCACAAGCGGUGGAUGAUGUGGAUUAAUUCGAUGCAACGCGAAAAACCUUACCUACCCUUGACAUGGUCGGAACCCUUGAGAGAUC
rnacentral:rRNA from 1 species